GAGGGUAUAGCUCAGUGGUAUAGAGCGCAUAGCAUGCAUGAGGCUCUGGGUUCAAUCCCCAGUACCUCA
rnacentral:tRNA from 1 species